UGGGGAAUAUUGCACAAUGGGCGCAAGCCUGAUGCAGCCAUGCCGCGUGUGUGAAGAAGGCCUUCGGGUUGUAAAGCACUUUCAGCGGGGAGGAAGGCGAUAAGGUUAAUAACCUCAUCGAUUGACGUUACCCGCAGAAGAAGCACCGGCUAACUCCGUGCCAGCAGCCGCGGUAAUACGGAGGGUGCAAGCGUUAAUCGGAAUUACUGGGCGUAAAGCGCACGCAGGCGGUUUGUUAAGUCAGAUGUGAAAUCCCCGGGCUCAACCUGGGAACUGCAUCUGAUACUGGCAAGCUUGAGUCUCGUAGAGGGGGGUAGAAUUCCAGGUGUAGCGGUGAAAUGCGUAGAGAUCUGGAGGAAUACCGGUGGCGAAGGCGGCCCCCUGGACGAAGACUGACGCUCAGGUGCGAAAGCGUCGGGAGCAAACAGG
rnacentral:rRNA from 1 species